AGUUAGUUGGUGGGGUAAAGGCUCACCAAGACGAUGAUGCAUAGCCGAGUUGAGAGACUGACCGGCCACAUUGGGACUGAGACACGGCCCAAACUCCUACGGGAGGCUGCAGUAGGGAAUCUUCCACAAUGGGCGCAAGCCUGAUGGAGCAACGCCGCGUGUGUGAUGAAGGCUUUCGGGUCGUAAAGCACUGUUGUAUGGGAAGAAUGGUAAGGGUAGGAAAUGAUCUUUACGUGACGGUACCAUACCAGAAAGGGACGGCUAAAUACGUGCCAGCAGCCGCGGUAAUACGUAUGUCCCGAGCGUUAUCCGGAUUUAUUGGGCGUAAAGCGAGCGCAGACGGUUUGAUAAGUCUGAAGUGAAAGCCCACAGCUCAACUGUGGAAGUGCUUUGGAAACUGUCAAACUUGAGUGCAGUAGAGGUAAGUGGAACUCCAUGUGUAGCGGUGGAAUGCGUAGAUAUAUGGAAGAACACCAGUGGCGAAGGCGGCUUACUGGACUGCAACUGACGUUGAGGCUCGAAAGUGUGGGUAGCAAACAGGAUUAGAUACCCUGGUAGUCCACACCGUAAACGAUGAACACUAGGUGUUAGGGGGUUUCCGCCCCUUAGUGCCGAAGCUAACGCAUUAAGUGUUCCGCCUGGGGAGUACGACCGCAAGGUUGAAACUCAAAGGAAUUGACGGGGACCCGCACAAGCGGUGGAGCAUGUGGUUUAAUUCGAAGCAACGCGAAGAACCUUACCAGGUCUUGACAUCCUUUGAAGGUACAAGAGAUUGUGCUGUUUUCUUCGGAAACAAAGUGACAGGUGGUGCAUGGCCGUCGUCAGCUCGUGUCGUGAGAUGUUGGGUUAAGUCCCGCAACGAGCGCAACCCUUAUGUUUAGUUGCCAGCAUUCAGUUGGGCACUCUAGACAGACUGCCGGUGACAAACCGGAGGAAGGCGGGGACGACGUCAGGUCAUCAUGCCCCUUAUGACCUGGGCUACACACGUGCUACAAUGGCGUAUACAACGAGCAGCGAACUCGCGAGGGUAAGCGAAUCUCUUAAAGUACGUCUCAGUUCGGAUUGUAGUCUGCAACUCGACUACAUGAAGUCGGAAUCGCUAGUAAUCGCGGAUCAGCAUGCCGCGGUGAAUACGUUCCCGGGUCUUGUACACACCGCCCGUCACACCAUGGGAGUUUG
rnacentral:rRNA from 1 species